rnacentral:rRNA from 1 species
CACGUAGGGUGCGAGCGUUGUCCGGAAUUAUUGGGCGUAAAGAGCUCGUAGGCGGUGUGUCGCGUCGGCCGUGAAAACCUGCAGCUUAACUGUGGGCUUGCGGUCGAUACGGGCAUCACUGGAGUUCGGCAGGGGAGAAUGGAAUUCCUGGUGUAGCGGUGAAAUGCGCAGAUAUCAGGAAGAACACCCGUGGCGAAGGCGGUUCUCUGGGCCGAUACUGACGCUGAGGAGCGAAAGCGUGGGAGCAAACAGG